UUGUGGUCUGUAUCUGUGCAGUGCCUGUGCCAUUGGGCUUUGGGCUCAUCCAUGCAGUCGUCGCUUCAGAGGCUAACAGGCAGCAGUGGCUCCAAGCCCUGUUGUAGACAAUCCGCUGUCAAGACUUGGAUGUUAAUUAAUUUUAAUGAACCUUGGAACAUGCAGUACGCAUGGAAAUGCUGCUUUUGAAAACAGUAUGUUGCAAAGUAAACAACAGAAUGAGUUAAUGGCAGGACUGAGAAUACAGCCUCCACCUUGGCUGCUGAUCUCAUGGGUCCUGAGACUGGGAGCCACCUACCUUAGCCUGAACUUCCCUGGCAGCAGGACAUCUCCUCUCAGAAGCUUCCAGGACUGCAGAGCAGGUAGCUGUUACAGCAAGCGUAACCUCUGGGGAAGGAGCAAAGUUAAACCCAAGCCUGUGGUGGAGGCAACUUCAUAACAACUAUCAGAAGGUCGCACAAUAGGCAUUUUUUGCGCAUAUUCUGAUGUUUAACAGACUGCUUGGGAUGGUGUGGGAAGGCACUUCAUAUUCUGUGGUAGUCAAGGCAUUGGGCUGGGGAAAAGAGGGGGAGAAGAUUUCUAUCCCAGCAGCUCAGGCACCUGACAGUGAGGAAAAAGCUUCAGAUCAUAUAAGCUGCAGAGGUACUCUUCACCAGCAGUUUUCUCCCUACAGUCAGGAAAAGACAAAACUUAUCAGUGGUGAUUAUGGGGAAAAAUAGCUUACGUAAAUAUGCGUACUAAAAAUAUUUUCUAUAUUUUUCUAGAAGCGCAUCUUUAUAUCCUUUUUAUGUGGAGCACGAGUACGUUAGUACUGAGGAAUGACUGGCUUCAGUAGCAGGUUCUACUGCACAGCAAAAGGCUGUGGCUGCACAGCAGUGAGCCUCUAGCCCAGAAGGGGAAUUGCACAUCAGCUUUGGAUGCUAAUAAGGGCAUGACCUUCUUGCCUAAGGAGAGGAAGAUUGCCCAGGGGAUGCUGUUCCCUGCUGGAUGCUUUACAUCUUGCCAGUCACCGUGUGCAGUUUUGUCCCUCCUUUGCAAUCAGCAGCGCUUCUGUUGUUUCUCCAGCACCAGCUCCAGGAGCAGCAGGUCUGGCUGGAUAUGAAUGAAGUUCUGGGUGAAUGAUGGGGAAAGGAUUUGCAGGCAAAGCAGUCAAGAAAAAUAGCAGCCACUCCAAAGAAAGCAUGGGAUACAAGUGAGAUUAUCAAAGUGAACCUUCAGGUGUCUGAGAGAAGGGGAUGUGGGUGGUGAACCCUGUGUACUUGUAUGGUGAAUGCUGGCAUUCUCAGUAACUGGAGAAAUGCAAGUGGGCUUCAGUAUGUCUGGGCAGGUUUUUCAGUCCUGGUGAAAUGUAAUUAUCACUGUUAAAUGAGUUUUGAAGGCUCAGAGGCUGAACUUGGAUGAAGCGAUCUGGAGAAGCACUGGUGGAAUCAAUGUAUUUA
rnacentral:lncRNA from 1 species